GUAGGGAAUAUUGGUCAAUGGACGAAAGUCUGAACCAGCCAUUCCGCGUGCAGGAAGAAGAUUCUAUGGAUUGUAAACUGCUUUUAGCAGAGAAGAAACGCCUUCAUUGAUGAGGGUUUGACGGUAUCUGCGGAAUAAGCACCGGCUAACUCCGUGCCAGCAGCCGCGGUAAUACGGGGGGUGCAAGCGUUAUCCGGAAUCACUGGGUUUAAAGGGUGCGUAGGCGGGAAAUUAAGUCAGUGGUGAAAGUCUGUUGCUUAACGAUAGAAUUGCCGUUGAUACUGAUUUUCUUGAAUUGGGUUGAGGUUAGCGGAAUGUGACAUGUAGCGGUGAAAUGCAUAGAUAUGUCAUGGAACACCAAUUGCGAAGGCAGCUAGCUGGGCCUUGAUUGACGCUGAGGCACGAAAGCGUGGGUAGCGAACAGGAUUAGAUACCCGUGUAGCC
rnacentral:rRNA from 1 species